AUUGAACGCUGGCGGCAGGCCUAACACAUGCAAGUCGAGCGGCAGCGCGGGGGCAACCCUGGCGGCGAGCGGCGGACGGGUGAGGAAUGCAUCGGAAUCUACCUCGUUGUGGGGGAUAACCUCGGGAAACCGGGACUAAUACCGCAUACGACCUACGGGUGAAAGUGGGGGACCUUCGGGCCUCACGCGAUGAGAUGAGCCGAUGCCGGAUUAGCUAGUUGGCGGGGUAAAGGCCCACCAAGGCGACGAUCCGUAGCUGGUCUGAGAGGAUGAUCAGCCACACUGGAACUGAGACACGGUCCAGACUCCUACGGGAGGCAGCAGUGGGGAAUAUUGGACAAUGGGCGCAAGCCUGAUCCAGCCAUGCCGCGUGUGUGAAGAAGGCC
rnacentral:rRNA from 1 species